rnacentral:tRNA from 1 species
GGUGGAUGUAGCUCAGUCGGCAGAGCACCUGGUUGUGGUCCAGGGGGUCGCGGGUUCAAGUCCCGUCUUCCACCCCCA